CUUUUUCUUUUUCCAGUGAUGAGGUGCCGUAGCAGACCGGGCUUGCUUGUUCUGUUCUAUAUUUUCGGCGUCUACAACUUGACUUGUCUCUGGAGCCACAGUGGUACAACAGGCAGCUGGCCUAAGAGUGCGGCCUUUCGGAUGCUACUGUUACCCUGGAUUGCCGCUGAUAGCAUCAACAGCUUGACCGCGGACGAGUUUCGCAAUCUUCAAACUGUGCUGAAGGAAGCUGCUUUCAACAAGACUGUCAUCGUGACUCCUUUGAAUAAGGCUUGGGCAUCAAAACUGCUAUCCUACUUCCUGGCUAGCUUCCAAGACGGUGACGAUACGACCCGCCUUCUUCCGACGCUGCUGAUCUUCACGUUGGAUCCAUCUGCGCACAAGAAAUGCCUGGAAGCUCAUCCGCACUGCAUCCUCCUCGAGAGCAAUGGCGUGGACUUUUCAGCAGAGAAGCCGUACAUGACCCGGGACUACUUGAGAAUGACAAGGAAGAAAAUAUCGUUCCUGAGCAUUCUUCUACAGAUGGGAUACAACUUCAUCUUCUCGGAUGCAGACGUCUUGUGGCUGCGAAAUCCCUUCUCGAAUUUCUCUCCGGAAGCAGACAUGGAGCUGGCUUGCGAUUUUUUCAAUGGCAACGAGACGGACAUUCACAACCUGGACAACACGGGGUUGAUGCACGUGAGAUCCAAUAACCGGACGAUCGAGCUCUUCAGGUACUGGGACAGGCACGCUAAGUUCUACUACCACAUCCACGACCAGGAAGUCUUCGACAGGAUCAAGCUCCACGCAGAGUUCCAGGCCAUAGGAGCCAAGAUCCGGUUCAUGCCAACGGAGGUGUUCAGUGGGUUUUGCGAGCCAGCCAGCGACAUAGAAAGAGUUUGCACCAUUCACGCCAACUGCUGCCAGGGCCUCCGCUCCAAGCUUGCGGAUUUGCAGCUCGUCCAAGAGGACUGGAACCAUUUCAUGCGGACCAGGAACAGAGCAAAUCGGCCCAAGAGGUUUCGAGCUCCGAGGACAUGCCUCAAGGGAUGCUUCUCGGCCUUUACGUCGAAACCGUGCUACAGGUCUUGCUACAACAGACGUUUGAAUGUUUCUUCGAUGUCAACUUAAACUUGUUCGAUGGGACUAGGAAAACUUGUUUUCAUCAGAUUUUCAAUGAGUUCAUAGAUUUGCAGCUCAGCCGGGGAGUUGCAAAGUUAGCUCUGAAGUGUUUCUCUGUCAGGCCGACCGAGUUUUGAUCCAAUCGCUUGCAAAACUGCGAAGGGGAUGAAACGAACAGCAACUGGAUGCCCCGGGCACAUCCUGCAUCCAGCAGAGAAUGGGAUCAUCUCCCGAAAGGUUCCACGGUGCUCAUCAACAUCUGGCAAUCGGAAGAAAUCCAAAACACUGGCCUAACCCAGAAGACUUUCGUCCUGAACGCUUUCCAAGGAACUGUGUAGCUGGCUAAUGCCUCUUUCAGGAUUGCGUGCAUGUAAGGCAAGCCGGGGACAUCUGAAGGCCUUAAGAGGCGCUUGGUCCCAAUUGCGUCUUGGAUUUCUUCAUGCGGUUUUUGCAUGACCAAGGGGUUCUGAAUCACUUCUGCCAUCGCCCAGUACAACUCCCUUCAUGUUGUCAAUUCAGCUGCAACCAGAUCAAGAACUUUGCGUUUACUUACAGUGAGCAGGGCCAUGUCUGAGAGAUUAUUAUCAGCAGCGUCUUGCAGAGACAGAAGCACAUCCGUCCAGUCCUUGGGAAUGAAUUCCUGGCCCGAGGAUUCAAUCUCGAGUUUGCAAUUUUGGCAUCAGAUCGUCCCUUAUUCUCCGCACUCGGCGGUAUGAACUUCCCGUCUGCUUCUCAAUCAGGCUGAUCAAGUCCAAAUAGAACCUGGCAGAACACACCAGAGAUAAACUUACCUAUGAAUUCUCUGAGUUUGAUGACUUUGGAGGCGGUGGCAAGACGUCCAACAUCUUUGACCAUGAGCUCCAUUCCAGA